GGGGGGCUUAACUUAGUUUGGUUGGGCUUUAAAAACCAUUUCACCCCGAUUCUGUCUUCUACUGUUAGAAAAGUGCUAGAGUUAGACAUCAAGGAUAGGCAAGGGAGAGAGUGCAGGCAUCUUGCAACCCAACAGAGAGCAAAACUUGUUUGCAAGGUUUGCCAUCUUUGGUAGCGGAUCUCGUACCGUUGCCAUCAUGGUAUAGUGACAGUAUCUUGGUAAGGGGUAGGUUCAGCUUACUAAUAUUCAAUACACCUCUCAUACCGCGUACCGGUGGGUAUACACCAGUAUUGACCCCUACGGCAUACCAUACUUGGUUGAGUGAUUAACUUAGCUAGUCUUCGCCUUUGACCUGACCAGGAGAGAAUAUACGGUCAAGCCAAGCCACCCUUCCUCACUUGCCCGAAUGGAAUACAUAUUUCCAUCAUCUAGUUGAGAAGGGAAAAGGCCCGACAUGGAACUAGAUCGUGAGUCUUCUGAACAAUUACAUUAUGGAGAAGUCCAUUCUCAUCAUAAUCGAUCCAUAUCCUACCAUAAUGUCUGGAGUACUAGGCUUGCUUAAGUUUCCAAUCUAGCUUACUAUGCUAUGUGCGAAGGAAUUUCUCUAAGAUCGCACAAGCUAGCUAGAGGUGAAAUUUGGAAAUGGCUAUGAACAACAGAUAUUUUCGCAUAUAUGUUUUACCUCUCCAUUUGCUACCCAUGUCCCU
rnacentral:lncRNA from 1 species